rnacentral:rRNA from 1 species
UACGAAGGGUGCAAGCGUUACUCGGAAUUACUGGGCGUAAGGCGUGCGUAGGUGGUUCGUUAAGUCUGUCGUGAAAGCCCCGGGCUCAACCUGGGAAUUGCAUUGGAUACUGGCAGGCUAGAGUGCGGUAGAGGAUGGCGGAAUUCCCGGUGUAGCAGUGAAAUGCGUAGAGAUCGGGAGGAACAUCUGUGGCGAAGGCGGCCAUCUGGACCAGCACUGACACUGAGGCACGAAAGCGUGGGGAGCAAACAGG